rnacentral:tRNA from 1 species
GCCUGGCUGGCUCAGUCCAUAGAGCAUAUGACUCUUGAUCUCAGGGUCAUGAGUUCAAGCCUCAUGGUGGGUA